GCGGUUUCACAUUAAUUACGCUUAAACUCUCUUCUCUAUUCGUCGAAUUCCUCGACGUUGUCCUCACCCGCAUCUCUUCCCUACUCCGGCGGCCCUCGAAGUGACCUUUCCCCACACCCUGAUCCCACAUCUCAGUCCGCUAUGCCUACCUCCCUCGCCACAUUGGUUGGAGCCCCAAAUCGAAGCCUUUAGGUACUGUGGAAAGAUCGAAGCAGGCGUUGGCUGUACCUUACAAUUGCAUGAUGGCUUCCGUCGACACCAGACAACGCCCGGCUUCUCUACCAGGUGAUGGGGUUGCAUACCUGAAUCCUGCUUUACCCCUUCCUUUUCGGUAUAAUGUUUCCUAAAUGUGCUUGGUGGCUAAUAUCCAUGUCGAUUCUAAUACAACAUGUCAAGGGCAUGAAACUUUUGAUGUUGUGUUCUGGAAAAUAUUAGAUUUGGGGAUAGGCUAUCUGUGUCAGUUUGAUUGAAUUUCCUAGGUUUUGUGUUCCGGAAUCAAACUUAGAUGAAUCCGUCAUGGAAUAGAAAGCUCGAGUAUCGUUGUUGAAGAAACAACAAAAUAAUCAAUCAAAAGAUUCAACGAGGAAGUAAAACACAAACCCAAAAGUUCCAUGGUUCAACGUCAUUUGCAUAUGUUUACAGAGAGAAUCAAAAUUAUUGCAAUAAAGAUAUAUAUUAAAUCGAUUUAAUCCAAAUCCAAACUUAGAACUUCUUGUAUACCCUUUCACACAAACAUAAAGAAUUUUCUUUAAACUAAUUUAAUUACUCCAAAAGUCCUGUCCUUUGUCAAGCAACACAGAAAGCUACGACCAGUUCUUUAACUUUAUCCGAUAGACUAAGAAAAAUAGGUCUCUAUGAUGCAUAGAUUUUAGAAACGUAGUGGCAUAGUAAAACACAUCCAUCAUCGACAAAGUCUCUUUAGGACUGACAAUGAUUGUUUCUUAUUUCGCUCAAUAUUUAAUAGCUGAUUAGCUAUUUUAAAAAAAUAGGGUCAAACUCACUACUAGUUUGCUGUCCAAGCAUAGUAAGUGACUUAACUGUAUGUUAUCAUCACUGAUUGGCUAUCAGAUAUACUCUGAAAUUGGAACACAGCAAUCAGAUGAUAAAUUAUUCAAGGGCAUAUCACUUGUAUCAUGCUUCAAUUCUUUGGCAGUAUCAUUUCCUUCUUAUGACAUGGAGCUUCUAGCUUGUAAAUGGCACUUUGUCAUGAAAACUAGAUCUUCCAACAACUAUAGUUCUAGAAAUAUUUCUUGAUGUGGAUCUUGCUGCCUGUUUCUUGUUAUGCCAAGAAUUUAUCUGAUAUCACAGAGCAGAGCUAGUAAACUUGGAAGUUAUUAAUCAUAAAAGAAUUUCAUUCAUGUCAAGGUAUUGAUGAAUGUUUAAAUCAAAGGAAUAAAUGCAUGAACAAGAGCAAACAAAGUUACAUUGGACAUGUUUACAGUUAUUACUUGAACCAAUGUAUAUAUACAUAACCAGAAGAGACUAAAUCAGGACUUCAUCAUCGACGCAAAUGCACAUGAUUAUGAUAUAUAUAGUAAUAUAUCUACCUACAUGCAUAGAUAUAUUCCUUAGAUAAAUUUAGGUGGUAAUAUUAUCAUAUCAAACAUGUAGAUCAAUAACAUAAGUAUCACCAAACACAUUAAUAAAGGGACACCUGAGAGAAUAAAGUUGAUACAACUAAUAGGUAUAUCAAUGAAUAACCAUUUGGAAAUCAAAUAGAUAUGUAUAUAUGACAAAUUGUGAGAUUGACUAGCAGGCAUAUAUUUCAUAUCAAAUAUUUUUAAUAAAAAAUACCACAUAGAUAAUUUAACAUAAAUGCCAAAUACAAAAUCAGAAAGGUCAAAUACAUAACUAGAUGAACAUAUUGGUCAUUCAAUCAUUCAAUUGAGUAGAUGAAAUAACAACUUGUUUAUCAGGUACAUAACAGACGAAUAUAUUUAUAUGAGAUUCAUUUAAAACAAUUAGAUUCAUGUCAUAUAGAAAUUUAAUUAGUAAUAUCAGGCAUAAAAUUAGGCAAAAUUUUGCCCAGUCAUCCUUGGUAUCAUCAUUUUAAAGCUAUGGGACAAGAGUCAGAUCAAAAUAAUGGCAACAAAGUUACAAGAGUAGAUAUGAGUUAACAAGAGAUAAAAGAAGGAAUUUUUAGAUUAUUGUAUCAAAAUUAUAUGUUAAUGGAUCUCGAUCCUCUACAUGGCAAUAGGUCAUGAGGUACUAAAUCAAUAUAGACAGGAUUGAUCAUGUUUGUAAAUGUAUAAGAUAACUAUUUAAACAAAUAGAAGAACAGAAUGGUUAAAGACGUGUAUUUAGGUCCCUAGCAUUGAAGUAUCAUGGACAGUGUGGUGGGCACAUUUAUUUUCUGGCAUUUGCCUUACAUAUUUCCUUUAUCAAGAAAUAAGACUUGCGAUUCUCCUGUGAUAUUUUAGAUAAUGGUAACAUGGAUUUAUCCAUCUGUAAUUGUUAUAGUAGAAAUAAAGCAAAUUUCUGGUCAUAUCUGUACAAGUCUAGUAAUUUUAAAUAUCAUUAUCACAUCCUUUUUUCUCUAUGAUGAUUGUAGGCAAAUGUUCAGAAGAAGUCAAUAACAUCUUGAUUUGUUUAUGGAUGCAUUUACUUGUUGAUUCGUGAGCUUGUAGUUGGUGACACUUUAGUGAGUAAAAAUAGAGAAGAGUUCAAGAGAAGGAAGCCGGGGGUUGCUGUCUUUGUAGGACUGAUUACUUAGGCGUUCUGUUUUGUACAUUUGAAAUUUCAGGUACAUAGAUAUGAUUUUUUGGUAGGUGUCAAUUUUACUGAUAUAAUAGACAUGAACAUCAAGCGACCAUUACUUAAAUCAUCAUUGACUGUCACUGGUUUUGACAACAUAACUUUAGUGAAUAGUUUGGUAGUUACUCUGGCAUCUUGCAUGAUCAACACCUUCUACUUCUCAGCCUCUAGUUUUGAGGAGAUCAUUUGACAUUAAGUUCAAUCUCCGGGAAAACGAAUGAGUUUUAAUCUAAUCUGCUUAAAAUGUAUGCUGAAAUCUAGUAUGAGAAACAAAUGGUCUUUAUGCCCACUAGAAUUAUUAGGAUGAAAUUGGCUCAAUAAUAAUGUAGAGAUGAAUUGUAGUAACAGCAUUGUAUACUUAUCCUGUUCGAAACUUUUUUAUUUAAAAUCUGGAAUAUAUAUUUAUGUAUACUAGAAACCGAUAUGUGGAAUUAAUGAUGAGUGCAUUUGGUUGCUUAUAGGAAUGAUACUCGUGAUUGUUAUCAUACACUUAGGCUGUUCAGACCUGAGGAAAGAGAGUACAAUGAUUCAAAUUCUUGGCCAGACAAAGAGCAUCUUGAUUGCACAAUCACUUGAGCUAUAAAAUUAUCUCGACCAUAUUAUUAUUUCUGAUAUGGCAAUACAAUAUUCUUCUAGUCAUAUCCAAACAUGCGACUCACAAAAUUAUUCAUCAUUAUCUGAGCUAACAUAUAGCCAAUAUCUUUUCACCAGUAAGAGGUGGGACCCUUUAAUUAUUUCUCUCGAAUUCUAUAGGUUCUUUUAGAAUUUGGCACAGUGAAGCAUACUUCUCUUCUCUGUCCUGUGAAACUGUUGGAUUCUUUGUACGCUUAGUUUAAAGAAUGUUUGGAUAUGGUCGGUCCUACUUGAUUGGAAUGUCAAGUUGUGCAGGAGUAGAGAGAGGGCUCUGUUUGUAGCCAAGCUGAUAAGGAGAGAAGAAUCUGUGUGUCAGAAAGGAGUGAGGAUGAGCACUUGCCUUGUCACCCAUGCGUGCAGGUUAUGCGGAACAGUAAUGCACAGGUGAGUGAGUGGCCGAGAGAUGCAUAUUCCCUCAUCCUUGGCGAUCUAACGAUGUCUCCUUUUUGGUCAGUUGGAUAUGGUGGAAUACAACCGCGGCUAAAAGUUGAGUUCUUUGUGUUCUUCCUUUUUUAUUAGAGCUUUCGGUUUAUUAAGUAAAGGAAGCAUAUAUAUCCAAAUGAUUCUUAGUUUUCAGACAUGUUUGGUUUGAUAUUUCCUUCUCUUUAAUCUAGCUAGGUCAGACAGGAGGAGUACACGUAAAAGCUGGAAUGUGACACUGUAAGUGUUGCCUUCUCAAACAGGGUCUGUGCCGCCAUGAUUCGAACACCAUGGAAGACAUAGUAUUGACAUGUUUGUAGUUGCAGCAGCAACUGAUACAAUGUACAUCUUAACCCCGCACAGGUUAAAGAAGACAGCAGCCAAAACAUGACGUCGUAGUGCACGUAUUAUAGUGAGACAGGAGGAGGAGGAGGUCGUGGAGGGUGUCAGAGCCAGAGUGCU
rnacentral:lncRNA from 1 species